rnacentral:rRNA from 1 species
UGCGUAGGUGGUUUGAUAAGUUAGGUGUGAAAGUCCUGGGCUUAACCUGGGGAUUGCGCUUAAGACUGUUGAGCUAGAGUACUGUAGAGGAAGGUGGAAUUUCCGGUGUAGCAGUGAAAUGCGUAGAUAUCGGAAGGAACAUCAGUGGCGAAGGCGACUUUCUGGACAGAUACUGACACUGAGGCACGAAAGCGUGGGGAGCAAACAGGAUUAGAUACCCUGGUAGUCCACGCUGUAAACGAUGAGGACUGGCUGUUGGGCGCCGUGAGGCGCUUAGUAGCGAAGCUAACGCGUUAAGUUCUCCGCCUGGGGAGUACGGCCGCAAGGCUAAA